GUGGCUGUGAAACUAGCAAUAAGCCAGAUAGUGCCUUACGAUAUAUUUUUGAUACUUUUAUACAUCAUACGUCACGAAAGAUGGCCGAAACGAUUUAAAGGGAAACUUUUUUCUAAUAGGCAAUAUUUAUUGCGAAGGAUCUGAAUUUAGCAAUAUCUGAAUUGUAAUAUAUUUCAAAGGAGAUUCACGAAUUUCAACUACGGCCACGGUGAUACCUAAAUAUUCGACAUCCGAGGUGAAGCAUAUUUAAAUUGGCACCAUCUCUUCUUCCGUACAUCCGACGAUACAUCCUACGUGGAUAGUACAAAUGUCCGACCAUCAACCAGAUUAAGGGAGGAUGUCAUAUUUAUAAUUGAACCAUCACAAAUCCUCCGGAUGGUAUUUAAGUCAAUUUGGAGAGAAAGGCACCUAGUCAUCUGGUGCUUGGAUACAACCUGAUGAUAUUACUGUGCUAUUACGAUAGCAACCAUCCACUUGAAUACAGGAUUUUAAUAAACGAGCACAUUGGACUGUGGAAACAGAAGAUCGUUUCAAGAAGCAUUUGGAAAAUGUAAGCAGCCAUUCCUCGUAGAAUAAUGUACUUGAAAUGCCUGUAUCUUCUUUGAAUGUAUUAUAAUUUAUGUAUUGGUGAAUUCCGGUUCUUCGCAAUAAAUUUUGCCUAUUGGAA